rnacentral:rRNA from 1 species
GACGAACGCUGGCGGCGCGCUUAACACAUGCAAGUCGAGCGAGGCGGCGGACGGGUGAGUAACCCGUGAGUAACCUGCCUUAGACAUUGGGAUAGCCUCGGGAAACCGGGAUUAAUACAAAAUGGUCUAAGAUGGACUCGCGUCCCAUGAGCUAGUUGGUGAGGUAACGGCCCACCAAGGCGACGAUGGGUAGCCGGCCUGAGAGGGUGAACGGACACAUUGGAACUGAGAAACGGUCCAAACUCUACGGGAGGCAGCAGUGGGGAAUAUGGCACAAUGGAGGGAACUCUGAUGCAGCGACGCCGCGUGAACGAAGAAGGCUUUCGAGUCGUAAAGUUCUUUGAUAUGGGAAGCGGUACCAUAAGAAAAAGCCCCGGCUAACUACGUGCCAGCAGCCGCGGUAAUAC